ACUUUGGGAGGCCGAGGCGGGUGGAUCACGAGGUCAAGAGAUCGAGACCAUCCUGGUCAACAUGGUGAAACCCCGUCUCUACUAAAAAUACAAAAAAUUAGCUGGGCAUGAUGGCGCGUGCCUGUAAUCCCAGCUACUCAGGAGGCUGAGGCAGGAGAAUUGCCUGGACCCAGGAGGCGGAGGUUGCGGUGAGCCAAGAUCGCGCCAUUGCACUCCAGCCUGGGAAACAAGAGCGAAACUCCGUCUCAAAAAAAAAGAAAGUCAGCAGAGAAAUCCAUACUGUUUCUACCACAUGCCAGGAAGUGUCAGCAACAUUGACAGGGCAGCUUAUGAAGCCAGGGGAAAAUUUCUCUCAAAUCCAAGUCUGUGAUUGAAAUUGGGCAUUCUACUCUUCUUGUAUUCAAGUGUCAUACAUCCAUUCAUACCCAUUCCAUGAAAAUAAACAAAGGUCUGGUUUACAAAAUUCUUUUAAAAAAAACCCUUCCACUUAUUCUAUGAAUAGCUAGACAGAUUACUUUCUAUAUUUCACUCUUAUGAAAAAUGAGAAUAUUUUUUCAUUCAGUUAAUAUCUACUCAGCCCAAUCUUAUGCCAGACUCUGCAUUAGGCACGAGAAGCACAAAAGGAAAUUGGACACUUCUUCCUGGUGGGUUCCAGCUGAGUGGAGGAUACUGGCAGGUAAAGGACGAAUUAGGCAAACACUUCACACUGUGGGAAACCAAAGAAGGGCAACAAACUCUCCCUCAGGAAGUUAGGAAAGGCUCCUAUGAUGGAUGUUGCCACCACCUCGGCCACCACCCUCCCUCGGAGGACUGAAGCACUUCCCCUCCAGCUGCCUCAUCAAGAUAAGGCUCCUUCCCAGGAGCAGACCACCUGGGAAAUCCUACCCAUUUGCCGCAGUUCAAGACAACUUUGCAGCAUAAUUGCAGCUUCCUGGCUCCCAGGAGGAUUGACUGAGGCCUUUGUUAGGUCUGCAUGAGCAGUUGGCAUUCCCCCUUCCAACCCAGGAGCAGGCAAACUGUGUGAAAAGGCUAGAGAGUAAACGUUUUAGGCUUUGCAGGCCACAUAGGUGAAUUUCUGUCUGGUUUUCUAUUUUUUUUUUUUACAACCCAUUGAAAAUGUAAAAACCGUUCUUUCUUAGCUCAGGGCCAAAUACAACCAGAUUUGCUUUGUGGAUUUCUGUUCCUCCCUAAAUGGCCUUCCUCGCCUGCCCUCCACAGCUGUUCAUCUCAAAGUGACUUCCCAAUAAUCAUCCUGCAAGUUAAUCUCUGUCUCAAGUCUACUUCCCGGGGAGCCUGAGGAUUACAGUUUGGCAAAGGAAGUACUUAGGACCCGCAGGUUUAACCAGGGUGCUGACAUUGAACUUUACCUAUGCCCUGUGGUCAGAAAAGUGUUUUUCCAGAAUUUCCCACCCUUUUUGUGUUCUGCUAAAGGGUUUACGGCAGCAUAAAGUACCUUUGUUUUGACAAAAUUCAUUUGUUUCAACAACGGAGACGUAGGUGAGACCAACAAUAACUUCUGCCCCUCUUUUGAUUCUGCUGAAGAAGCAUCUCUCCUCCCACCAGUCAGCCGUGGUCAUACGCGUGCCCGGCUGGUUUGCAGAAAACUAGCUUGACACCGAGAUAAACAUUCUUGUUCAUCUUGCCGGAAGAAUUCCAACCAGGACAACUUGAAUAAGGGCUGGGAAAGGCCGAGACCUCCUGAAGCAGGAAAUCUCCCUGACCCCACUGUGGAACUCACGCCCACAGCUCUCAACUCCUGGUAGGAGGGAGAAAGCAAGUCAACAAGGCGGGAACUGGAGUACCUGAGUGCUGGAAUUGGCCAGCCGCGUCAUCACCCACAAGAACUCCAUUCGCUCAGACCUGCUGCGAUCCACCCCCCUUGGGAGAGGGCACACUGGGAAAGACACGAAGGACAAGGAGAAGGAGGCUCAAACCAAGUCUGCCUAUUAUUAGGAUGAAAUGCAUGAUGUCGCUGACAUUCAACCUCUGCUGAGCUGCAGAAUCAACAGUUUCAUCAAGUUCAGCCUAUAAAGCCAAUGUUCAUUUCCCAUCACUUUUUCAGCUGUUUUAGACCAUGUUCCCACGGAGUUCUGCAGAAGCAUCUACACUGCUACUCAAGAAGAGAGACGGGCUGAUGCCAUGCGGGAGGCAAACCCUGUGAGUAGGGCUCUAGUUACUUGUCAUUGUUCCGACCAGAUAAGCUCUGUUUUUAUCUUUUUUAUGCAGUGGAGCUCCCAGUAAACCAUUGUGUAAAGAGAACGAGAAUUACACUCCUAAAUAUGACACUGAAAUAUCACAGCUAUAUUCCAGUAUCACAAAAAGAUAUUGAAAUUGUAUUAUUAAAAUGCAGAAGUGAUCUUUUCUAAUAUCCAUAAUUGACAGAAGAUGCUGAGACCCUGAAAGACUAAUGCUUUCCCCAGGGCCACAGUGUGACUCCUUGACAAAGCCACGAUGGAACCCAAGUCACUUCAAAUCCAGUGUUGUCUUCAGUAUACCAUUUGCGAAUAUCACCGCCUUAUAGUACUAGGACCCAAACCCUCCAUUUUCUAGGCUACACUUCUGUAGUUCCAUCGUAUACACUCAAGUGCUAUGCUCUCUAGACACCUCACCAUCCUCAUUUCCUCUACUUACGUUCCAAUUUCACAAGGUUCCUCCUAAUAAAAAGGACCCAGGAUUCUAUAUAACACAACCUGAUGUAUUCGGACCCUUUCUAAGUACAGUGAGAUGAUGCCUCAUUUUUUCUAGGCACAAACUUAUCUUUUCUGUCAUUUUAUGGUAGAAAUGCAAGUGUCAGAUGCUACUCUCAGGGCUGUCUCCAAACUUCUGUCACUUUAGGAAUUGAAUGGACAAAGGCUACGAAAUGCCACCUCAGAGUUAGUAAAAUAAAACCAUGAGAGCGAAAUAGAGCAUUCUGAUUAGAAAGUGAACUGUAUCAUCCUAACAAAGCUCUGUAGGGAGUCCCAGUUACCCUGCUAUAAAACACGGUUGAUCCAAGCAGCCUGCAAGACAGAAAUAGCAGGUCAUUUUCUUAAAAUAAGAAAACACUUCUUGUUUACUGCUUGUGAAAUAACUUCUUCAUGGGUGAAAAAAUUCUCUUAUCUUUAACUAACUAUCAGAAUGGAAGACAAUAAGUUGUAAAGUCAAAUUACAAAGUUUGUAUGACGUGCAGGUGAUGGAGAAAUCACCUGACUACAGAAACUUACCUCUUUGUGAGAACAUACUUUGUAAGUACUAAUGUCAAUAUUCUAAUGUAAGUCAAGGCCAGGAUAUCACUAACUGUCAGAAAGAAUGAGAAAAUUAUUCUAAAGCAUAAAAUAAUAAUGACUUUACAUAUAAUAUCCAGGCAGCUAUUAUAGCAAAUUUGAAGAUAAAUAUAUCCAAAUCUUAAAAAAAAAAAAAAAAGAUGCAAUAACAAGAAGGGCCCAAGCCAGAAAAUUUACUCAAAAAGAUAGAAAAAGAUUAUUUAAAGAUUUUUUAGAUAACUUGAAUAAUCUUUUAAUAAGAUCAUACAACACAAUAUACAGCAAGAUACAUUUCAGUAAGGAGUUUCAUCAAAUUACACACAUUUUCCCCUGCAAUUUGAUCAUGUGAUGAUAUGUCCUUAAACUUUUAACUAUUUUGAUGUUAUUUUGCCCAUAUGUGUAAAAUUGAGAUCAAACUGAUUUUUUCUCCUCCACCAAAAAUGCCAGUGCCAUCUGGGUGAAUACUCUUGCCUAUACAGUCUUUGUGUAGGUUUUCCUUCUGAUACAUACAUGAUACAUAUACUUGUGUCUGCUUCAUUACAUACACUCGUGUUUCUUCCAUUUUUAAAUUUUCUUUCCUUAAAUGCUUAUCACAUAAUCUCAAAAGUGUUGUGUUAGGACAUUGUCAUAACUCCUUUUAGUCAAAAAGUUCUUGACCAUUUCUGUGUGGUUAUUUUUCACUGGAUUUACUUUAGAAUUUCUGUCCCCCCUAAAAAUUUUUUUUUUACAAUUUGAUUGGAAUUCUGUUUAACUUAUCAAUUAAUUUGAGGAAAAUUGUUCAUUCUGACAUUCUGAACCCCUAUAAUUUUCAAGACAUUGUGCUAAGAACUUUACCAAAAUGUGUGACAAUGUAUUCACAAGCCCCAUGGGAAGUAUCACUGUAUCCCCACCACAUGGAUGGUAAAGUAGAGUCUUUAGAACUUUAAACAACUGCUAAGUAGAGGAGAGAGGAUCCCAGCCUGGGUCACUUUGAUUCCACACCCAUGAUCUUAAUUAUCAUCAUAUACUACCUUCUUAUCAAUUAUUAUAAUACAUCUCUCCAUCCAUUCAAGAACCCCUUCCUACAGAAAAGUAAAAUGUUAUAGGUUUUCUUAUGUGUCUUUACAUUUCAUGAGUUGACCUCUAAAUACAUUAUGAUUUUUUUCUUUUGCAACUGUGAAUAAGAUUGCCCUGUUGUUUUACCUAAUUGGGUACUACACUGAUAAUAAUUAUCAAUUUUGUAUCAUUUUAUUAAAUCCAGCCACUUUAAUGAAGUUACUCAGUUCUAGGCUAUCUAUAUUUUUAAAAUUACAUUAUCUGCAAUAGUGAUUGUCUCAGUCUUUCAAAACACUCUAGUUUUAUUGUUCCAUGUUCAAUUACAUUGGCCUUCUAGAAUACUAUAACAGUAAAUAAUAUAGUAUAAUAUAUACACUACAUAAUAUAGUAUAAUAAUAUAGUAUAAAUAAUUUAAUGGCAAUGAAAG